AUUAAUAUAGCUUAAAAGAAAGCAUAAGAUUCUUACUCUUAGGAUGGCAUUUUAUUGUGCCUAUUAAUG
rnacentral:tRNA from 1 species